rnacentral:piRNA from 1 species
UGUACACAACACGUGGUUAGGUCUUACUGC